CCCAUCCGGAACCGAGCAGAAUCAGGUACAUAUUUAUUUUUUCACAUAGGUACAUCUUUAUUGACCUAUGUGAAAGCUUUUGUAUAACUUUAUGGAUCAUAGGAAGCUUCAGUUUUCCUAUAUACAUACAUUGAAAUAAAAUCUUAUGCACAUCCAAUGAACUCUGUUUGUAGGAUUCCUUCUCAGAGCAUUUAGUUAAUAGUACU
rnacentral:lncRNA from 1 species